rnacentral:rRNA from 1 species
UACGAAGGGGGCGAGCGUUGUUCGGAAUUACUGGGCGUAAAGGGCUCGUAGGCGGCCAACUAAGUCACACGUGAAAUCCCCAGGCUUAACCUGGGAACUGCGGUUGAAACUACAGGACUAGAAUCUGGCAGAGGGGGGUGGAAUUCCACGUGUAGCAGUGAAAUGCGUAGAGAUGUGGAGGAACACCGAUGGCGAAGGCAGCCCCCUGGGCUGAGAUUGACGCUCAGGCACGAAAGCGUGGGGAGCAAACAGG